rnacentral:ncRNA from 1 species
GCAGAGUAGAUCAAUGUGGGUCACGUGCCGGUGAGACGGGGAGUUGUUCACCGGACGAAGCAGAAAUGCGCUGUACAUUGAUCGCAUCCCGCUG